GUCCCUGGGGUUUGGGGUCCCAUUUUGGGGUCAUUUGGGGUCACUCGGGGUUAUAUUUUGGGGUCCCAUUUGGGGUCAUUUUGGGGUUAUUUUGGGGUCAUAUUUUGGGGUCCCAUUUUGGGGUCCCAUUUGGGGUCAUUUUGGGGUCCCAUUUUGGGGUCCCUGGGGUUUGGGGUCCCAUUUUGGGGUCCCAUUUG
rnacentral:lncRNA from 1 species